UACGUAGGGGGCAAGCGUUGUCCGGAAUCAUUGGGCGUAAAGCGCGUGUAGGCGGCCAGAUAAGUCCGCUGUGAAAUCUCGAGGCUCAACUUCGAGCUGUCGGUGGAAACUGUCUGGCUAGAGUCCGGAAGAGGCGAGUGGAAUUCCUGGUGUAGCGGUGGAAUGCGCAGAUAUCAGGAGGAACACCAAUAGCGAAGGCAGCUCGCUGGGACGGUACUGACGCUAAGGCGCGAAAGCGUGGGGAGCGAACAGG
rnacentral:rRNA from 1 species